rnacentral:lncRNA from 1 species
GAUUUACCACACACUUCCACCUACGAUGUAGAAGGUGGCAUAGGAAGCUGUCAGAAGAGCAAAGCCUUUCUUAAGAAAGCAUUACAAUAAAGGAAGGGAUAUGAAAGACUCCUAGACUGAGAAAGGGGGUCAUGGGCGCUGCCAUGUUAAUGGAGGGAGCUGAUGGAUUUACAACAUGUUACAAGAUCAACUUCUAAACUACAUGACAAAUCAGCAAUGCUGUAGUGGAGACACUCAAUCAGCGACAACACCAAUCAUGUAUCCACACAGUUUGUUCAUCAUUCAUUACGCCAUGUGGCUCAUCCAGCUCGCUGUCGUAAAUGACUAAUCACGGGUAGAUGGAUGAGGAAAGG